GACGAACGCUGGCGGCGUGCUUAACACAUGCAAGUCGAGCGGUAAGGCCCUUUCGGGGGUACACGAGCGGCGAACGGGUGAGUAACACGUGGGUGACCUGCCCUCAGCUCUGGGAUAAGCCUGGGAAACUGGGUCUAAUACUGGAUAUGACUCCACGGUGCAUGUCGUGGGGUGGAAAGCCUUGUGCGGCUGAGGAUGGGCCCGCGGCCUAUCAGCUUGUUGGUGGGGUGAUGGCCUACCAAGGCGACGACGGGUAGCCGGCCUGAGAGGGCGACCGGCCACACUGGGACUGAGACACGGCCCAGACUCCUACGGGAGGCAGCAGUGGGGAAUCUUGCGCAAUGGGCGAAAGCCUGACGCAGCGACGCCGCGUGAGGGAU
rnacentral:rRNA from 1 species